AAAGAAGAAUUGGUCGAAUGCGUUUUCCCAAAUAUCAUUCAGAAUCGCAGAAGCCAUGAUUGGUUAGCAGAACGUUCAAUAUUGGCACCGAAGAAUAUACACGACAAUGCAAUGAACUUUAAAAUUCAAGAAAAAUUGCCAGGUGAAGUCAUAACUUAUAAAUCCAUUGACAGCGUUAUGGAUGAAGAUGAAGCUGUGAAUUAUCCAAUUGAAUUUCUGAAUUCAUUGGAACCAGCUGGUACACCGCCACAUCUUUUGAAUUUAAAGACAUGCCAUUCAAUUUCAAACGUCUGCAAUUUCCGGUGCGUUUAUCAUUUGCCAACACUAUAAACAAAGCAAAAGGACAAACAUUUCAAAUAUGCGGAGUAAAUUUGGAAGAAUCAUGUUUUUCACAUGGGCAAUUAUAUGUUGCAUGUUCGAGAGUCAGUACUACACAUCGUUUAUUCAUUCAUGCACCGGACAGUAAAACUAAGAACGUUGUUUAUCAAAAUGUUUUAGAUUAGAGCUCGAAUUUUUAAGAUUUACAAUUUAUUAUAUACGCUUAUGUAAAAAUAAGAGGAAACUGAAGAAUAAAUACUUUCAAUGUUUGAAGAGUA